AAAGUUCUACAUUAUCAUUUUGUUCAUCUCACCUAAAAUAUGUUGUUUGACGUGAUAUUAGUUGGAUCCAGAGCUGGAAUUUGAUCCUCUUGGUCUACUUCCAAACGCUGGUGUAGUAGUUGUUGUUUCCCAGAGAAUGUCGUUUUCACCAUGUACAGAGUUCCCAUGUUUUGAGCCGUGUCCUCAAGCUCAAGCCAUAUUACACUGUCUACUUCGGCAUCUUCUUCAGAGAGACAAGAGGGAAGAAGCUCUACGCGUUGCUCAAUUAUCAGCAGAGAAACCACAUUUUUCUCAUUGCCUGGAAUGGCUUCUAUUUACAGUUUUUGAUGCUGAUAUUGGCUAGGCUUCCACCUGGACCCACUGGACCCACUCCACCCACUGGACCAUCAUCUUGAUUAUGUUGUGUCUUUGUAUUUUGAAUACUUGAAUAUUUCUAUUAUAUAUUUGUGAACACUUGAAUAUUUUGUUAAGUUAUGACUCUUCGAAUGCUAAUUUAAAUUUCA